rnacentral:rRNA from 1 species
CUACGGGGGGCUGCAGUAAGGAAUAUUGCGCAAUGGAGGCAACUCUGACGCAGCCAUGCCGCGUGCAGGAAGAAGGCCUUAUGGGUCGUAAACUGCUUUUAUUUAGGAAUAAACCCCCGAACGUGUUCGGGGCUGAAGGUACUAAACGAAUAAGCACCGGCUAACUCCGUGGCCAGCAGCCGCGGUAAUACGGAGGGUGCAAGCGUUAUCCGGAUUUAUUGGGUUUAAAGGGUGCGCAGGCGGGCUAUUAAGUCAGUGGUGAAAUCCCGGGGCUCAACUCCGGAACUGACAUUGAUACUGAUAGUCUUGAGUUUGGUUGAAGUGGGCGGAAUGUAGCAUGUAGCGGUGAAAUGCAUAGAUAUGCUACAGAACACCAAUCGCGAAGGCAGCUCACUAAGCCAAAACUGACGCUCAUGCACGAAAGCGUGGGGAUCAAACAGGAUUAGAUACCCGUGUAGUC